rnacentral:rRNA from 1 species
UACGGAGAGUGCAAGCGUUGCUCAGAUUCACUGGGCGUAAAGGGUACGUAGGCGGCUUGUUAAGUCAGGUGUGGAAGCCCACGGCUUACCCGUGGAAGUGCGCUUGAUACUGGCAAGCUUGAGGCGUUGAGGGGUGGGUGGAACACUAGGUGGAGCGGUGAAAUGCGUAGAUAUCUAGUGGAACGCCGGAGGCGAAAGCGACCCACUGGUGACGUCCUGACGCUGAGGUACGAAAGCUGGGGGAGCAAACGGG